GCAAAUAUCCAUCGAUCCGCAGAUGUCCGAAUGAGGAAACUCACAUGGAGAAACUCCAUGUAUCGCAUGAUGAAUAAAUAGUCAUGCGAGGGGAACCCGCUGAACUGAAACAUCUAAGUAGGCGGAGGAAGAGAAAGAAACAUCGAUUGCGAAAGUAGCGGCGAGCGAAAUCGCAGGAGCCCAAACCGACGUGCGAGCAUGUCGGGGUAAUGGACUGCAUAAGCCAUCAGGAGAGCUAGUCGAACGUAUUGGAAAGUACGGACAGAGAGUGUGAGAUCCACGUAGACGAAAGCUCAAGAGAGGCGGCAGGAUCCGGAGUAGCAC
rnacentral:rRNA from 1 species